CCAAAAGACUGGCGACCGGCGCACGGGUGAGUAACACGUAUCCAACCUGCCGAUAACUCGGGGAUAGCCUUUCGAAAGAAAGAUUAAUACCCGAUGGUAUAAUCAGACCGCAUGGUUUGAUUAUUAAAGAAUUUCGGUUAUCGAUGGGGAUGCGUUCCAUUAGGCAGUUGGUGAGGUAACGGCUCACCAAACCUUCGAUGGAUAGGGGUUCUGAGAGGAAGGUCCCCCACAUUGGAACUGAGACACGGUCCAA
rnacentral:rRNA from 1 species